GACGAACGCUGGCGGCGCGCUUAACACAUGCAAGUCGAACGGAAAGGCCUGCUUUCCCUUGUGGAUUGCGGGUACUCGAGUGGCGAACGGGUGAGUAACACGUGAGUGAUCUGCCCCCAACUUGGGUAUAAGCCUGGGAAACUGGGUCUAAUUCCCGAUAGGACUGCAGGGUGGUGCCUGUGGUGGAAAACGAUUUUCUAGUGGUUGGGGAUGAGCUCGCGGCCUAUCAGCUUGUUGGUGGGGUAAUGGCCUACCAAGGCGGCGACGGGUAGCCGGCCUGAGAGGGUGGACGGCCACAUUGGGACUGAGAUACGGCCCAGACUUCUACGGGGGGCAGCAGUGGGGAAUAUUGCACAAUGGGCGGAAGCCUGAUGCAGCGACGCCGCGUGGGGGAUGACGGCCUUCGGGUUGUAAACUCCUUUCGACCGCGAGGAAGCCACCUGGUUGGAAGGGUGGUGACGGUAGUGGUAGAAGAAGCACCGGCUAACUACGUG
rnacentral:rRNA from 1 species